AGUGAACGCUGGCGGUAGGCCUAACACAUGCAAGUCGAACGGCAGCACAGUAAGAGCUUGCUCUUACGGGUGGCGAGUGGCGGACGGGUGAGGAAUACAUCGGAAUCUACUUUUUCGUGGGGGAUAACGUAGGGAAACUUACGCUAAUACCGCAUACGACCUACGGGUGAAAGCAGGGGAUCUUCGGACCUUGCGCGAUUGAAUGAGCCGAUGUCGGAUUAGCUAGUUGGCGGGGUAAAGGCCCACCAAGGCGACGAUCCGUAGCUGGUCUGAGAGGAUGAUCAGCCACACUGGAACUGAGACAGGGUCCAGACUCCUACGGGAGGCAGCAGUGGGGAAUAUUGGGCAAUGGGCGCAAGCCUGAUCCAGCCAUACCGCGUGGGUGAAGAAGGCCUUCGGGUUGUAAAGCCCUUUUGUUGGGAAAGAAAAGCAGCAGGUUAAUACCCCGCUGUUCUGACGGUACCCAAAGAAUAAGCGCCGGCUAACUUCGUGC
rnacentral:rRNA from 1 species